rnacentral:rRNA from 1 species
AGAGCGAACGCUGGCGGCAGGCUUAAAACAUGCAAGUCGAGCGGGCGUAGCAAUACGUCAGCGGCAGACGGGUGAGUAACGCGUGGGAACGUACCUUUUGGUUCGGAACAACACAGGGAAACUUGUGCUAAAUACCGGAUAAGCCCUUACGGGGAAAGAUUUAUCGCCGAAAGAUCGGCUCGCGUCUGAUUAGCUAGUUGGUGAGGUAACGGCUCACCAAGGCGACGAUCAGUAGCUGGUCUGAGAGGAUGAUCAGCCACAUUGGGACUGAGACACGGCCCAAACUCCUACGGGAGGCAGCAGUGGGGAAUAUUGGACAAUGGGCGCAAGCCUGAUCCAGCCAUGCCGCGUGAGUGAUGAAGGCCCUAGGGUUGUAAAGCUCUUUUGUGCGGGAAGAUAAUGACGGUACCGCAAGAAUAAGCCCCGGCUAACUUCGUGCCAGCAGCCGC